CACUGCCGCCACGGUCUCCUCCUCCCUGGUGGCCGCGGGCGGCCCGCCCGCUCAGCUGCAUAUUCUAUAUCUGAAGGCAACCUGGUACUGGUCUAGUGCGCCGUGAUGCUGCCACUGUCUCCUCCUCCCCGGUGCUCCUAGAUCCAAUAAUAUCUCACCGGAGGCAAGCCGGUGGUCCUCGAUCUCCUCGCCUCCUUUACCUCGCAGGAUCAGCAGCAAGGUCAGCUGCGUUUCUCCCACUCCCCUCUCCCCUCUCCCUCCUAUAGAUUUCUCUCUAGAUUUCUCUCUAGAUUUCUCUCUAAUGGUAGCUUCCCUCUCCUGUGACGACUUGGAUGGCUUUCAUUGGUGUUGUUUGAUGAUUAAACAUAGCAUGAUGCUUACUGAUAGGACUUAGUUGUGGUAUGCUAUCCAAAAACACAUGGGUCUGUCAACAUUUAUCAUUGUAGCUCAUAUUUUGUACUGUGUUGUGUUCAAGAAGAAGCAUAUUCAUCUAUUGAAAAUUUACACAUAUGCAGUGUAUACAUACAUGUUUGAUUUUUGUUCAGAAUUUGGUUCUCCUUUUAAAUAUGCAUUUCGUAUUUUCCAAAAAAAGUGGUUCAAUGGAGGUUGAGCUCCAAAGUGCCUCACCCGUGGUUUUAACUAUAUUUGAUGAAAUGGACAAGCUUACUGCUUUAAUUUUCAAAGGAGUGCAGAGAGAGUUGGAGCAAAACCAGAUGGACAUAGUAGAUUCUGGUGAGAGGCUGAGAAACUUGAAUAUGACUAGCAGUGUGUUCAUGUGUUGUUUUAGAUUUUUAAAUAUCGAAUUCACCUAACCAAAAUAGUUAGAGAAUAGUGUAUAUAUUUAACCGAGAAGUUGAAGUAUAUCAUUAUUGUUUCAGUUUGCAUUCAUUGUAACCUUCCGCGUGUAAAAUAAGACUGUACCUUCUAAUUUGCAACCUGGCAAUUGGAGAUGACUUCCUUAAUUUGAUAUGUUUCAGGAGACUCUUAGUAUCUGGAUUUUGUGCAAAACACAUUUAGACUCUCAGUACCCCCUUUAGGUUGUAUCGCAUGGUUGCAUAUGCUUAGUUGGUGGCCUGGUCUCUAGUGUUUGAUAGUGGUGACUGGUGACCGUCAAAUUUGUCUCGACAAAAGUAUUGUUACAUUUUGUGCUUCCUGUCAAUCUCCAUGUAUUUGAACCCUGGAGCUGGCAGAUCUUAACAAAUUCCUCUCUCUUUGAAAGGGCGGAAAAGAUCACGGUCCUUUUAUUUUUCUCGUUGAAAAUUAGUUUUUCUCUAAGCAUCAAUAACUAAUAAAAUCCAUUUACUGGUCUGGGUUGUAGAUUUAAGGAGGAGGGCCGUAGGUGCUUUGGAGAAUGCCUUUUUUUUGUUAACAUGAUUGAUGCAUUCUCUUCAAGCUUUAUAGUCAAAACAAAAUUGAAUGUCUUCUUCCAGAAAAAGAAAAGUAGUCACACUUGUUUGCCGGAAAAUCUUUUUGUCAACGAAAAUGUGACCUGAAGGUCAACGAUUGCUUACAGGAUGACCUAACUUGUUGAUUUCAUGAUUUCCAAUAUGCAAAAGGUAGCUUCUAUUUUGCCUUCCAUUCUUUCUAGGUGCACAUUAUAUUUGGCGCAUUGGAAUGGGCGGCAAGUCUUGUACGCUGCCAUUUUGUUCACUGGUAGUAGUGAACUAUUUGUUCUAUAGACCACAAAAAAGAUAAAAUACGGUUCCUCAGAUCACUAUGAUAUAGGAGUAUUAUUUAAGCAGUACAUGAACACAUGCUGAUUGGAGCCCGGUUAUGAUCGAGCCUAAAGCCAAAAUAAAAUAAAAUCAGUGAUAGUGGUAGAAUCACUACAACCACACUGAUGAACUGGUGAAAUAUAAAAUUAAGAUAAAAUUGAAUUGUCAAAGUCUGCUGCACUUUAAUUGGUUUCCACAGUGUGAAGCGGUUCACAACUACUCUUUCUCGGCCAUCUUGUUCAUUUUUAUUUCCUGUGUCGUUGUAGUUUUCUUUCACAUGUGAAUAAUUGCCAUUGUUGUGCGUGUAAUAUUGCACUAUCUAUGUGGUUAACUAGUUAUAGCUACUAUUGUUCUUGAAUCAUGACUGCUUUUGAGUGAUAGAACUGUCCAGUUGCAUCGAGGGAUACUAUUUGAUCAUACGGCUAUUUUCUUAUUUGAAUAUACGAUGGUCUAUUAGAAAAUCCCAAAGGUUUAUAGGAUUGAUGUCUAAUAUGAUUCUGCAUUUGCAUGUUAGCCUAAGUUUAUCCGAACUUUAUAUGUAAAUAUUUGUGUUGCCUAAUUCUGCCGGUGCUUGCCAAUCUCACCUAUGAACAGAAUCUGCACCAAAGUGUUUUUUGUACAAGAUAAACAAUGUUUUAUAAUCUGUUCCAUUAUUAGAGUUAGGAUGAUCCACAAAAUAGCUGGCGGUUCUACCAGUACCAGCAUAGAAGCAUACCGCAUACCUCAGGUUGUGUUUUGGGAUGAAUUUGAUUCAUCACUAUUUUUCCUUUCAUGUGGUAUGUGCAGCACACAGCGAGAUGGCAUUGUUGAUGCAUAUUUAUUCGAUUAGAUCAUGAGCAAUAAGUGCUUGACACUUGUACAGACAUGUGCUAACUGAAUCUUAUUUGUUAUUAUGUUUGAUCUCUCCUAGCGCAAGAAGCUCGAUGAGCAAUAAGCACUAGUAAUGGAGGCAGAGGCAACAGCUUUUCUGUUGUGUGCCAUCAAGUAGCAAAAGUUGAUGCAAUGCGAUUAUUUUGGCCCUUCAUAAUUAGUUUUGCAUGAGAUAUACCAAAAAUGAUCCUCGCAUGCUAUGUUACACUUGAUAAGUUAUGUAUGUGUGUCUCUUCUGUUGUGUUUGGUCCGGGAUCGUGCAAUUUGAAAUGUAUGUUUAGUUAUGAUUUCAAGUGGAUGGAUUAAUGUUCUCAUGUACUCUAAUAUUGGUGAUGAUGUUCACAUACUUUUAGUGACCAACAUGCUCAAAUGUAUGGAUUUCUUGCAUGGUUCGUGAUGUAGCAGAAGCUACUAAUGAAAUCAAAUAUACAUGGAAUCUAGUACAGAACAUAUGUAUAUGCGGUUUUGUGUAAACCUAAGAGGAGAGGGGCACUCGUAUAGGUUUAAAAAAUUGUUUUAUUUAUGAAGGACAACUUGAUUGAUAUAUGAGAGAUUUGAGGUGGUUACUGUAAGGACAACUUGAUUGAUGUAUGAGAGAAUUGAGGUGGUUAUUGUAAAGACAACUUGAUUGAUAUAUGAGAGAUUUGAGGUAAGUAAUGUUCUAUAUAUAACUAGUAUUAGGGGGUUUUCAACACUGAGAACCCUCCAUCUAAAUCUGUACCAGUCAUCUUCCAUCCAAUGGGCCAGGUUCAUUUUUUCUAUUUUUUCACCAUAGACCCAGAUUCU
rnacentral:lncRNA from 1 species